GCACAAGCAGCGGAGCGUGUGGUUUAAUUCGAUGCUACACGAAGAACCUUACCUGGGUUUGACAUGCAAGUGGUAGGAAGCCGAAAGGUGACCGACCCUUCGGGGAGCUUGCACAGGUGCUGCAUGGCUGUCGUCAGCUCGUGUCGUGAGAUGUUCGGUUAAGUCCGCUAACGAGCGCAACCCUCGCUGUGUGUUAUAUGUGUCACACGGGACUGCCGGUCUUAAGCCGGAGGAAGGUGGGGAUGAUGUCAAGUCAGCAUGGCCUUUAUAUCCUGGGCUACACACACGCUACAAUGGCCAACACAAUAGGUUGCUAAGCCGCGAGGUGGCGCCAAUCCAUAAAGUUGGUCUCAGUUCAGAUUGUAGGCUGCAACCCGCCUGCAUGAAGAUGGAGUUGCUAGUAACCGCAGGUCAGCUAUACUGCGGUGAAUACGUUCCCGGGGCUU
rnacentral:rRNA from 1 species